rnacentral:rRNA from 1 species
AGAGUUUGAUCCUGGCUCAGGACGAACGCUGGCGGCGUGCUUAACACAUGCAAGUCGAACGGAGGUUACUUUGAAACGCAAGUAGAUAGGUAACCUUAGUGGCGGACGGGUGAGUAACGCGUGGAUAACCUGCCUGAAUGACCGGGACAACACCGGGAAACUGGUGCUAAUACCGGAUACGCUCUUGGGAGCACAUGCUUUUGAGAGGAAAGGAGCAAUCCGCAUACAGAUGGGUCCGCGUCCCAUUAGCUAGUUGGGGGUGUAAGAGACCACCAAGGCGACGAUGGGUAGCCGGCCUGAGAGGGUGGACGGCCACACUGGAACUGAGACACGGUCCAGACUCCUACGGGAGGCAGCAGUGGGGAAUCUUCCGCAAUGGGUGCAAGCUUGACGGAGCAACGCCGCGUGAGUGAAGAAGGCCUUCGGGUUGUAAAGCUCUGUCUUCAGGGAAGAAAAAAAUGACGGUACCUGAGGAGGAAGCCCCGGCUAACUACGUGCCAGCAGCCGCGGUAAAACGUAGGGGGCGAGCGUUGUCCGGAAUUACUGGGCGUAAAGGGCGCGUAGGCGGUCAUUUAAGUCAGAGGUGAAAACUACCGGCUUAACCGGUAGCCUGCCUUUGAAACUGGGUGACUUGAGGGCAGGAGAGGGGAGUGGAAUUCCCAGUGUAGCGGUGAAAUGCGUAGAUAUUGGGAGGAACACCAGUGGCGAACGCGGCUCUCUGGCCUGUUUCUGACGCUGAGGCGCGAAAGCGUGGGGAGCGAACGGGAUUAGAUACCCCGGUAGUCCACGCCGUAACGAUGGGUGCUAGGUGUAGGAGGUAUCGACCCCUUCUGUGCCGUAGUUAACACAAUAAGCACCCCGCCUGGGGAGUACGGCCGCAAGGUUGAAACUCAAAGGAAUUGACGG